UACGUAGGGUCCGAGCGUUGUCCGGAAUUAUUGGGCGUAAAGGGCUCGUAGGCGGUUUGUCGCGUCGGGAGUGAAAACUUGGGGCUCAACCCCAAGCUUGCGGGCGAUACGGGCAGACUUGAGUACUGCAGGGGAGACUGGAAUUCCUGGUGUAGCGGUGAAAUGCGUAGAUAUCUGGAGGAACACCGGUGGCGAAGGCGGCAUCCUGGACCAACAUUGACGCUGAGGAGCGAAAGCCAGGGGAGCAAACGGG
rnacentral:rRNA from 1 species